rnacentral:tRNA from 1 species
GGUCGCAUAGCUCAGCCCGGUAGUAGCACAGAACUGAUAAUUCUGCGGUCGCUGGUUCGAUUCCAGCUGCGACCACCA